CUCUCAGCAGCUGCAGAGCGGCUGCUGGCGCUCCGCAUCGCGCCAGAGCGCAGCUUCCUUCCCGCGGCGCUUCUACUUUGCUCCGGAAAAAAAAAUGGCUGUCUCCUCCAACCCAUGUUUUCAGUGCCUGUCACAUGCAUGUUAUUUGCAGAUCAACCAACCAACCACAACACCUGUAACAGGAUGAAGCUGCCUAGCUAUUCAGAUACAAUGAUGAUCAUGAUGAUGGUGGUGAUAAUGAUAGUUCAAAUGUCUUAAAAAAGGGCUUGAUAGAGAAGAUACAUUUUAGUGGCCCAGAAAAAAUGAGUAGAAGCUUGUUAUUUUAUCUGUCUUCCAUAAUAUCUAUUUUAUAUUUGAAUUGGUCAGAUUUAAUAGAAUAAAUGUGAGCCCACCAUAAGUAAUUUACUGUAUA